rnacentral:misc_RNA from 1 species
GUAGGUGAACCUGCGGAAGGAUCAUUAACACAAUACAUUUACCCAAAUGUAUUUUAACCCCCCUUUGCAAACCUGUUUCAUAUUGUUUUCCCGGAUUUGGAGCUUGUACGUGAGUACACACUUUGAAUCUGUGGUUUCAGACCUUUAUAUAACCCCUUGAACUGUCUUUGACUGAAACUCUGAGCUAUGACAAACUUCAAAACUUGUCAUGUCUCUGCCAUAUAUCAAACGCUGAACAACUCUUAGCAACGGAUAUCUUGGCUCUU